UUCAUGUCAUGCAAAAAUAGAAAAGAAUAUCUAUCAUUUUUGCACCAUUUAAGUGACAAAUUCAUGGUUAAUACUGAGAAUGAUGCAAAUCCUGGAAUUAUGCCUUAGAAUUAAGCUAGAGGACCUGAUAUGUGGCUGUAUGAAGAAUAUCUUGCCGCUGCUGCUGAAAUGUUGUUGUUGCUGGAAUGCUGCUAUUGUUGUUUUUCAUUUUAAUUGCAGUUAUUUCUUAAUUAUUGUUUGAUUGUUUUAAGUCAGUCUUUAGCUUUGUACCUUUCACAUAUUUUACUCCUAGAUUUGAUUGCCUAAACUUUAGCUUGGAUUAGCUUCAAUCUAGUUACCUUAAGCA